rnacentral:lncRNA from 1 species
CACGAAUCAGAGACCAUUAUUUCUUUAAGAACCAAAUAACUUUAUUUAAAUCAAAUUAACUUUAUUCGUGGAAAAACUGGAAGAACUGGAACCUUUUGCAGAAGCAAUACAGCAAUAAGCAUGCUCAGCUUGGUGAUCAGGGAAAGGCACCAUGCGGCCUGGGGCUACGGGGAAACAGUCCCAACUCAGUACUUUUUGUCGCUGUCGCCCAGGGUGAGCUUGUCAAACAGGUACUCUGCCAGGCCAUCUUCCGGAGCCCGCAUCUUGCGCAGGCUGGUGACAUAGCCCCCCAGCUCUUUGAUGGCCUCGACUUGCUGGUGCAGGUAGUGGCUCUCCAGGAAGUCGCACAGCUN